AAACACCAUAGGGCUGGCCGUCCCAUAUGAAAAGAUUUUAUUAGAAUUGAAUGAAACUUUGUUUAUAUAUUGAUAAUGACAGUAUAUAUAUCGUGUCUUGACUAAUUGCGUGCCAGCAGUCGCGGUAAUACGUAAGAGACUAGUGUUAUUCAUCUUAAUUAGGUUUAAAGGGUACCCAGACGGUCAGUAUAGCUUAUAAAAUGUUAGUACCUGACUAGAGUUUUAUGUAAGAGGGCAGUACUAUGAGGAGGAGAGAUGAAAUUUCGUGAUACCAAAGGGACUCUGUAAAGGCGAAGGCAGCCCUCUAUGUAAAAACUGACGUUGAAGGACGAAGGCACAGAGAACAAACAGGAUUAGAUACCCAAGUAGUCUUUGCAGUAAAUGAUGAAUGCCAUAGGUUAGAUAAAAAUUUCUUAGGAGGUCGUCUCCUCAGACAAAAAAAUGGUGUUAUCAUUUUACUUAUUUUCUAAAUAAGGUUUGUUUUAACUAUCUCCAGAAAUUUUGUUUAUCUGGUCUAUAAAUGAAAGUGU
rnacentral:rRNA from 1 species